rnacentral:rRNA from 1 species
UCUAAGCACACGCCUUAAUACGGUGAAGCCGCGAAUAGCUCAUUACAACAGCCACCGUUUACUAGAAUAUAGUUAUCCUACUUGGAUAACUGUGGCAAUUCUAGAGCUAAUACAUGCAAAAAAGCUCUGCCCGCAAGGAAUGAGCGCAUUUAUUAGAAUAAAAACCAAUCGGGUUUCGGCCCGUAAUUUGGUGAAUCUGAAUAACUUUGCCAAUCGCACAGUCCUAGUACUGGCGAUGUAUCUUUCAAGUGUCUGCCUUAUCAACUUUCGAUGGUAGGUUAUACGCCUACCAUGGUAGUAACGGGUAACGGAGAAUAAGGGUUCGACUCCGGAGAGGGAGCCUGAGAAACGGCUACCACA